ensembl:lncRNA
AUAGACAUGGAGGAAACGGUUACAGAUGGAGCAACGCGCUUUACUCUUUGUAACUUGAACCAAAACGAGCGUUUAAAAGGAACCGAAGGCGCAUGGAAGACAUACAGUGUGUCCGUAUAACCUCAGCUUCAACUGUGGGGGAGGAUUGACAAUGACGUUACGACGUCAUCUUCAAAAAACAAUGUGGGCGGGGCAUCCCGCUUUACACCGAAAAGGAGUCGAGCGAGCCAGAUCUUUCACUCGACCGUCAUAAACGUUAGUAGCGCACUAGAUUUGGGUCUCCAGACUGGUUUUGAAAUAAAGUUGAUAAAGCGUAUAAAAAGUCACCAGAUUGAUAGAAUUCUAAGCAAAUGUUUCUAACCGCGGAAAUCCGGAGAUCCCAUAGAGGGAUGCUCGAGUUAUGUUCAGGCGCUCGGUGGCUGAUCUGGAUGUCCCCAUUCGCUGGAGACGUCUUGCGCGCGCGCGUGGUUUUCAUCUGUAUCUACUUUCUGUGGCUACACAAAGUCGAGGGCAAUGACUGUUCUGCCAAGUCUGAUCCGAAUGGCAUGACGUUUCAUCUACUUGAGGACGUAGCUUCCUGUAAUGAAUACAAUUGGUGUGUUGAUAAUACUGUGGUGGCCAAUGAAGAUCAUUUUAAUGACAUGAUGGUUCUCAGCAAAGAUCGUCGUAGCAUCACUUUUAAAACCUGUCCUAACAAUCUUACAUACAAAAAUGUCUGUAACGGGAAAAUCAUCAACUGCCCUUCCUGCCCCACAACCCCAACUACAAAUGGUGAGUAUUUUUUUUUCUAUGAAGGCUUGGCAAUAAUAAAAUCUCCAAUAUUCUGUUUUACUAAAAAGUCUGAGAAUUCCGAAGUCCUGGCCUCAUUACCUGGUCAGGAUUUCAUUUUCUGCAACCCAUGAACAUAAAAUGUGAGCAGUAAUUUAUUUUGCUUGUUGAUUCUUUAAGAGGACUUACUGUGCAUGUAAGAAGGUUAGAUGAAACAAAGGUAACCAAAUAGAUAUAUGUUUAUGAUCACUCCUGCAGUGCCGUCCCCCCCGGAACAGUGGACAUGCUGAUGGUGUUGUUGCGGUCAUAUUUGUUGUUCUCUUUUGUAACCUCAUCUUUAUGUUGUAGAAGAGAAUCUGACAUCAAGAAGAUAUGUGAGAAGCCUGGUGCAGAUGUGACCUCAGCCAAAGAAUACCUCCUGAAGAAAACACUCUAAUAAAGCUGCGUGUUACUGUUUUUACUCUUUGGAUCAUAAUAUUUUUUUUUUUAAAGAACAUCCAUCCAUCCAUCUUCUAUACCGCUUAUCCUUUCCUCAGGGUCACGGGGAAACCGGAGCCUAUCCCAGGGAGCAUCGGGCACAAGGCGGGUUACACCCUGGACAGUGUGCCAAUCCAUCACAGGGCACAAUCACAUGAACACUCACACACCCAUUCAUGCACUGUGGACACUUUAGACACGCCAAUCAGUCCAGAUUCCAUAUAUAUAUAUAUAUAUAUAUAUAUAUAUAUAUAUAUAUAUAGAUAUAUAGAUAUAUAGAUAUAUAUAUAGAUAGAUAUAGAUAUAGAUAUAUAGAUAUAGAUACAUAUAUCAAAGCAAACCAAUGACUACAUUUCCCAUCCUGCACUGCAGACUACAAACAUGGCCACCAUGGACUACACUUCCCACACACCUUCACCUUCUCUGGAAUUCUAAUCACACACACCUCUUGCCAAUUUCACACUCACUCACUCAGCUAUAUAAGAGACUUUUUUGAACACCAUCACUUUGCGAAAUUUGUGUGUUUCACCAUACCAAGCGAUCGUACCCUGUGCAUUUGCAUCCGUCCUAAACUCCAUUACGUGGAUUACGUGACAGUUGAGAACCUCUGAUUUGGCCAGCACAUAAUUUAAUUAAUUGAGAUGGAUUGUAUAGCCAAAAUGAUUACAUGUAUAUUCUAUAUACAUGAUGUCUACUGCUCUACCAUAAACUCAACUACUAGGUCUCCAUGUUUCUUAUAAUUUAAUUUUCGUUUUUGAGAUAUUGUAAUACGCAAUCUGUAUACUCCCAUACAUGCCACCAGGGGCCAGCCUUUACCUGAGUUUUGAAACUCUGUGAUGGUUAUUCUCAUAUUGUUCACUUUAAAAACACAUGGGUUUUUUAAAUAUGCUUAGCUUUGGAGGGAGACAACAAAGGAAGAAGUUCUACACGGGAACAGGGGUAGUCCAAGGUGGAAUUGUUUCCCAAAAGACAUACUAUACACUGUACACUUACACUAUGCACUAUACACUGGCAUCUAGUGUAUGAAUUUCAGAAGGGUGGGAUCAUCUCAAAUGGCUCACUUUCGGUAUUGUACUAUUCGGAGGUAUAUGCUGUUUCCUGGUCGAGGGCAAAUUAUGUCAAACGCACCUAAUGCGAUGGCGCUAGCAUUAGCGAAAUGGCCCAAAAGAUAACAAAAAUGAAUUGGUACAUUUUACUGUUUAUGUUAAUGUUUCCUUGUAUGCCCAACAAGACCUCAGUCACCGUUAGACGGAGGCAUAAUUGUCUCCGCAGGCGAAUUUUGCUUGCACAAUUUAAAAUCAACAUAUUAAGCUAUGGUUUUGACUAUGGCUGCUGGCAAUGUAAACAUCUUUUUUUACAUUCAGCAUCUGUGCCUGAUAAAGACCCUCCCAUCUGCUACAUAAGGAAAGCUGUGACCAUUGAGUGCAUGAAUUGUCCAUCAUUCCACGCUUCGUUUUUUUUCGGUUGAAUGAGUGCACCAUCCAGGAACUUAAAGAACUCAGUGUGAACACACCAAUCACACUAUUUAUAUUACAAAAGUGUCUGAUUUGGGACGCACCUACAGAUUUGUCGGCCUUGUUCCUGCUUGCCAUUCUGAUAGCGACCCUGGACUCUUUUUUGACUGUUGCUGUUUAAUAAACUCUCCACAAAUGAACCCUUACUCUGUGCCCGAGCC